rnacentral:sRNA from 2 species
GUAAUGCGCACCGUCCACUUGAUGCAUUCGAGGCAUCUCUCUUGAGAAAUCAGCCCAUUUGCUCAAUUUAUUCUCUAUCCAAUCGGUUGGGUUCGCUGCUACCAGCUUCAGGGGUAUAGCGUGGAAUACAUCAAUGCUUGCCACGGAGCCAGAAGGUUCGUACUCUAAUGCAGCUUCCUGCAUCUUGUGGGCAAGUGUUAUCCAGGUCCUCAGCUUGUUCCUGGUUAGAGAUAGCUCCACCAAACGACUCUGUGCAGCACAAGACAUGAUGUGGUCGAGGGCGUCAUCGUUAGAGAGUUCAUGUAAUUUAGGCGACAAUUCGAGGGCGUGUUCCUCUGAUAUCAGGUCCAAGAAAUAAGAGAGAUUGAUACCAGCUUCUACCCAAUCGAGCUGGCGCAUACGAUCUUUGAUAUGUGGCGGUAGGUUGAAAGAACCUAGGAACCUAAUUUCGUCCCCAUUAGCUUCGAGGAGUUUAGCGAUUUCAAAAGCAAUCAUGGCGCCAAAUGAAUAUCCUGCGAUUGCAUAUGGGCCCCAGGUCUGGGUCUCUUUGAUGUGUCAAAAAUAUGUUGUACAUAUUUCAGGGAGGUCAGUAAAAAACUCCUCCCAUGCUUCAAACCCUCGAGCUCGGAGUGCAUAUAGCGGGCGGUCAUUGAUGUACUUCACGAGGUUUAAGAAAACCAAGACUUCGCCAACACCGGGAUGUACAAGCC